GAAUGAGGAAACUCACUUAGAGUAAUGUCUAAGUAUCAUUAAGUGAAUACAUAGCUUAAUGAGGGGAACUCAGGGAACUGAAACAUCUAAGUACCUGAAGGAAGAGAAAGAAAUUCGAUUCCGUAAGUAGCGGCGAGCGAACGCGGAUUAGCCCAAACCAAUAAAGUUUUCUUUAUUGGGGUUGCGGACAUAUCAUAACGAAGAGGUAUCGUAAUUGAAGAGGUUUGGAAAGAUCCACCACAGAAGGUAAUAGUCCUGUAUGUUAAACGAGAAGACUUUAGAUAUGAUCCAGAGUACCACGGGACACGUGAAACCCUGUGGGAAGCAGGAGGGACCACACUCCAAGGCUAAAUACUACCUAGUGACCGAUAGCGUAUAGUACCGUGAGGGAAAGGUGAAAAGAACCCC
rnacentral:rRNA from 1 species